GAACUUCACUGUCCUCUUGAAAAUGACAUCACAAGACCUGAAGAGGAGCUAAACGGGCUGACACCUGUAGCUGAAGAGUGCCUUAACGCCAAGUCCCACGGCUCCAUACGAGAGAUGCCUGUUGCUCCUCUGACAAAUUUGGCAGCUUCGCGCGCCCUAAUUUGUUUUUUACAGGCCACUACACCUGAAACAGCCAUUGCAAAAUUAUGACAGUAAGAGAAAUCUGGCAUGCUGACUUCAUCUUGUUUCCAGCCUCACUGAUAACAUCACUAUUGCACAACCUACAAUAUGGUGAUGUCUUUUCAGGUUUUUGCAUUUCUGACACCCACAUGUCCUCACCUGGACCCGCCAACCCAUCUUGUGGCCUCCACCCAGGAACUGACUCAGCAUGAGAGGACAGCCUCAAUUCCCUAUGAUUUCAUCUCCAACCCAACCAAUCAGCUUUCCCCCUACCCUGGUCUGCUGCCCACCAAACUGUCUUUGAAAAACCCAUAACCUCCAUGCCUUCAGGGAGAUGAUUUGAGUACUAACGCCAUCUCCCCUGUGGCGUGGCUGACCUCGUGUUUAUUAAACUCUUUCUUUACUGCAA